rnacentral:rRNA from 1 species
AGCGAACGCUGGCGGCAGGCUUAACACAUGCAAGUCGAGCGGGCGUAGCAAUACGUCAGCGGCAGACGGGUGAGUAACGCGUGGGAACGUACCUUUUGGUUCGGAACAACACAGGGAAACUUGUGCUAAUACCGGAUAAGCCCUUACGGGGAAAGAUUUAUCGCCGAAAGAUCGGCCCGCGUCUGAUUAGCUAGUUGGUGAGGUAACGGCUCACCAAGGCGACGAUCAGUAGCUGGCUGAGAGGAUGAUCAGCCACAUUGGGACUGAGACACGGCCCAAACUCCUACGGGAGGCAGCAGUGGGGAAUAUUGGACAAUGGGCGCAAGCCUGAUCCAGCCAUGCCGCGUGAGUGAUGAAGGCCCUAGGGUUGUAAAGCUCUUUUGUGCGGGAAGAUAAUGACGGUAGCGGGAGAAGAAGCCCCGGCUAACUUCGUGCCAGCCGCCG